CUGGCAGACGCACCUGAAAGGAAGCCGACAAAUCUGCGGGAAGAAAGGGGAGGCCAUUAGAAAUGACAAGAAGCGAAAAGCUGGUGCAGAAAAGUGAGGAUGACUGCUGGCAGGCAAGUGAUCUCCACGAUGCAGUCCAGUUCUCCAGCUAAUGGGUGAUGCUAGAGUAGAACUGGCCAAAGCACAAUGGCUGUUCGAGAUCCUGGGGCACACAGAUCCCUGAGCUAUGACCGCUGUCAAACAUAAAAGCUAAGGAAUUUUGUAUCUGGCGCUGCCAGGAGGUUGCCAUACAUUUCAUCUUCUGGCUCUCCAUCAGGGUAGCUGGAAAGAACAAAGUGCCUGGGGCUUCUCCGUGUCUGGGACAUCAUACUCUGCAACAAGACCAGAGUCAGUCCAGCAGCGUCUGGUAGCGCAAGGUCUUCUCAUUUUAGAUGGAUGUGGUUCAGAGUACGCGUUCACCCCUUUUGGGUCUGCAGUCAGAACGCGAGCGUUGCUGAGGUAAGAACUAUUUUGAGAGCGGUCAAAGGAAAGUUUCAGUGAACCAACAGAUGUACAGCGAUUCAAACGUGUGGCCUCCUCACAAUGGGUCAAAACAGCCUAGAAAUUGGAAAAUCUAGAUAAACAUUGCUAGCAUAGCUAAGUAUAGCUUCCCAGUAGUUUCACUUAGUAUGAGAUGCUUUCCUAGGCUGUUGGCAAUGACCUCCUACCAUUGCAUUGCUCCAGCUGACCAGAAGGUGAUUCAAAACCACUAGCCAGGAUCUAGCACAUAGGCACAUCAUAAGACAUGGGCCUGUUCUAGCAAAAUAAAUGACAAAACUCCCAGGGUUUCAGCCCAAGUUGUGCAUCUCUAGUAUUUCCAAUACCUUGAUAAGUCUUUCCUUAAAGCACCAAAGAGGCUGACUUAACCCACAGCAGAUCUCAGAGCAGAGCUAAUGUUUCUGUAGCUUUUGCAAAUGUUUUUAUUUGACUUAUCAAGCCCAACGACAUCAGAGCUGUGCACCAGGGCUAUUUAAAACUACACACACACCCUCAGGCAGCCAGCACUCCUCCUGCCCCAGGGAUGUUUGCUUCUGCAGCAUUGCAGAGGGAGGCUCUGUUCUGCCUUUACAGUGCCUGAUGAUUGACUGUGAUGACAGUCCUCUGGAUGUGCAUUGGUUUUAUCUGGCAUGGCUUUGGCCUGCUGCUUUAUCUCUCUACUCCCCAGCUACAUCAUUACUGAGCUGAUUCUUUUUGCUGCCGAUCUUGGAAAACAAUGAAUGGGAUUUCCCCCAGACUGGAUUCUUUUGUCCUUUUAAGCACAUGCUGCAGAAUAAAACCUAUGUAAAGUAUUCUAAGAGAUGGAGCUAAGCCAAGUAAAAGGUGUCUGUGGUAAAGCUGCUCAUAGUGGAUUUGUUUGCCCUCUUAAUGCAAUACCAUAAACUCUUUCUUCAAGAUUUAUGUCUGGGACAAGAUUGGGGCCUUUGUGCACUGAGAAACUCCUGAUCUUCUUUCAAUAUUUAGAAGACAUUAUUACAUUUUCCAUAAAGCACUUAUCAUCAAUUACAGUAUAUAUAUUACUGCAUAAGUAAAUGCACUUCCAUGAACUAGCAGAAACUUCGUACCAACUAAAUAAAAAGUUAGUUAGUACCAAGUUCCAACUUAGUUCUACAAAAGCAAAGACUCUGCUUAGUGACACUUAAUGUGACUGGGGAGAAAAUUCUAAUGAUUACUUUAUGUUCAGUAAAUAUUAGCAUAUAUCAUACAGAUUAUAGUUUACUAUUAUCUUGUUUUAAACACUUCCUUUACGUGUCGUUGUAUGCCCCUCUCCUCAGUCCAAGCAAAGAUCAGGAAAAGGGUUAUGUCCAUAGGGACUUCCAACUUUUCCAGCACCAUAUCCGAUUUCCAGAAACCCAGUCACCUGGAGGACUUUGUAGCUCUGAAUGAGGUGCCAAGGCUCUGUAUGUACAACACAGUGAAGCUGUCACACUUGAAAAAAAAAAAACAAAACAUAUUCCCUGGUGCUAAUACCUGAGCUGGCCCUUCCAUUUUCCAGGGGAACAACUAGACCAGUGGGUUACCAGCUGCAUCCCUCUAUUUUUUGGGCAAGGCUGAUGCAACAUAAGCACUAUUGCAGCACGAUCUGCAUUAUCUGGGGCAGCUCCUGGUUUGGGAGCUCCAAACCAAAUGUAUUUAAAAACAGCAUAAAAACUCAACUGUCUAUUAUUGCAUGUUUAUACCAACUAUUUUUAGACUUCACAACCGUGCACUGUGAAAAAAUCUCUAAAAAAAGGUAUUUUCUAUUUUUUUCCAUUUCUAGAAUAGAUGCUAGUUUCACAUUUGCAGGACCACACAAUGGAAAUGUCUACAUCUGUAGGAGAUGAAAAUUGAGUUCUGAAAGAGACCUAUAAUAAGUCGGUGCACUACAGAAAUCAGAAAUGUAAACAAACCAUACAAUACCAUGACAAAAGCCCAAAGCACAGCAUAUGCUUCCUCACACCUGUUAUGAUAAUACCUUCCUCCCACAGGCUAAAAAAGAAACUGCUGUAGAUGCUGAGUCCUGCUGCCAAGGAUUCAGCUGCAGCCUGCCCUGCUGUUUUCACCCACCGAUUUGUCUCCACAUUCAAGUCAGGGAGAGCUAAGGAAGAGGGUAUUUGUUGUGCACUGGGUAGAACUGGCAGCGCUGGGGCAAAGGCACUCAUCAGAGGGCUAUUCUCCUGAAGAUGCACAGGUAUACAUAGGCAUACAUGUGAAAGCUGCCUUAAUGUGGACCCAGUUUGUUUCUCAAGUCUAGAUCCAUACAGAGCUGGGCAAGAAGAGUGUAUAUCAUGUGUUACAGCCAAUUCUGAUCCUCCAAAGCGGGAUGUAUCGAUCUUCCACCAUCUGUCUCAUUCUUUCCUUCUUUCUCUCGCUUACACAAAAAGAAUGGGCAAACUGAAUUUGGUUGACAGAAACCAAGAGGUUCCAAGUUUGUGUUAAUAACUUACCACUUAGAUAGCAAGUGACCAUAACCUAAUCCUCACAACGUGUCUGAGAGGCACAGCAGGAUCCCAUACUAGCACCAGCAAGUAUCUCCAACCCAGCUAGCAGAUCAAAAAGCUCGUUCUUUUUUGUAAGGCUUUGACUGAGCAAACUAAAAGCUUAGUUUUAAAAUGGUGAAAUGCCUUCAGCAGAAUGAAUAAUGUAUUUAAAGUUAAAUGCAUAUUUACUGUUUUAGUGAAUAGGUCCAAAUUUAAAAAGCUCUCUAAAUGCCUAUGCUUAUGUAUAUGAUGGAAAUUAUGACUUUUUAUGAACACAAUUAUGAUUAAAUAAUUAAAAUCCUCUUUCUACCAAAGAUGCUUGACUCUAUUUUUACUUUGCCUAGUCAUUUUUUUUCCAGUUGUGUCUCUUUUU